GACGAACCGUGCGAACGUUGUUCGGAAUCACUGGGCUUAAAGGGCGCGUAGGCGGCGUGACAAGUCACUUGUGAAAUCUCCGGGCUUAACUCGGAACGGUCAAGUGAUACUGUCGUGCUAGAGUACAGAAGGGGCAACUGGAAUUCUCGGUGUAGCGGUGAAAUGCGUAGAUAUCGAGAGGAACACCUGCGGCGAAGGCGGGUUGCUGGGCUGAUACUGACGCUGAGGCGCGAAAGCUAGGGGAGCGAACGGG
rnacentral:rRNA from 1 species